rnacentral:rRNA from 1 species
CCUACGGGUGGCUGCAGUGGGGAAUAUUGGACAAUGGGCGCAAGCCUGAUCCAGCAAUGCCGCGUGUGUGAAGAAGGCCUGCGGGUUGUAAAGCACUUUCAGUGGGGAGGAAGGCCUCGAUAUUAAUACUAUUGAGGAUUGACGUUACCCACAGAAGAAGCACCGGCUAACUCUGUGCCAGCAGCCGCGGUAAUACAGAGGGUGAUUGCGUUGAUUGGAAUUACUGGGGGUAGUUUCUUAGUAGGGGGGUGAAAGCCCCGGGCUCAACCUGGGAAUUGCAUUUGAUACUGAGUAACUUGAGUAUGGUAGAGGGAAGUGGAAUUUCCAGUGUAGCGGUGAAAUGCGUAGAUAUUGGAAGGAACAUCAGUGGCGAAGGCGACUUCCUGGACCAUUACUGACACUGAGGCACGAAAGCGUGGGGAGCGAACAGGAUUAGAUACCCUAGUAGUC